UCCUGGCUUUGUGGUUGAGUGGUAAGGACACUUGCCUCUCACCCAGAAGUCCCGGGUUCGAUACCCGGUGGAGGAG
rnacentral:tRNA from 1 species